GUAGGUGAACCUGCAGAAGGAUCAUAA
rnacentral:rRNA from 1 species